ACAUGCAAGUCGAGCGAACGGACGAGAAGCUUGCUUCUCUGAUGUUAGCGGCGGACGGGUGAGUAACACGUGGAUAACCUACCUAUAAGACUGGGAUAACUUCGGGAAACCGGAGCUAAUACCGGAUAAUAUUUUGAACCGCAUGGUUCAAAAGUGAAAGACGGUCUUGCUGUCACUUAUAGAUGGAUCCGCGCUGCAUUAGCUAGUUGGUAAGGUAACGGCUUACCAAGGCAACGAUGCAUAGCCGACCUGAGAGGGUGAUCGGCCACACUGGAACUGAGACACGGUCCAGACUCCUACGGGAGGCAGCAGUAGGGAAUCUUCCGCAAUGGGCGAAAGCCUGACGGAGCAACGCCGCGUGAGUGAUGAAGGUCUUCGGAUCGUAAAACUCUGUUAUUAGGGAAGAACAUAUGUGUAAGUAACUGUGCACAUCUUGACGGUACCUAAUCAGAAAGCCACGGCUAACUACGUGCCAGCAGCCGCGGUAAUACGUAGGUGGCAAGCGUUAUCCGGAAUUAUUGGGCGUAAAGCGCGCGUAGGCGGUUUUUUAAGUCUGAUGUGAAAGCCCACGGCUCAACCGUGG
rnacentral:rRNA from 1 species